rnacentral:tRNA from 1 species
GAAGUUUGAAGUCCAAGUGAAAGCUGCUAACUUAUCACUUUAGCGGUUAAAUUCCGUUUACACUUCU